GCCCAGACUCCUACGGGAGGCAGCAGUGGGGAAUAUUGCACAAUGGGGGAAACCCUGAUGCAGCGACGCCGCGUGAGCGAUGAAGUAUUUCGGUAUGUAAAGCUCUAUCAGCAGGGAAGAAGAUGAUGGUACCUGACUAAGAAGCCCCGGCUAACUACGUGCCAGCGGCCGCGGUAAUACGUAGGGGGCAAGCGUUAUCCGGAUUUACUGGGUGUAAAGGGAGCGUAGACGGCGAUGCAAGCCAGAUGUGAAAGCCCGGGGCUCAACCCCGGGACUGCAUUUGGAACUGUGUGGCUGGAGUGUCGGAGAGGCAGGCGGAAUUCCUAGGGUAGCGGUGAAAUGCGUAGAUAUCAGGAGGAACACCGGUGGCGAAGGCGGCCUGCUGGACUGCGACUGACGUUGAGGCCCGAAAGCGUGGGGAGCAAACAGGAUUAGAUACCCGAGUAU
rnacentral:rRNA from 1 species